ensembl:lncRNA
CAUGGCAUGUGUCAUAUCUGAUGAAAGUCAACUUCACCAGAGGGGACCUUGUCAGUCUUUUCCAACGCUCUCCGUCUUUGAGCUUCCAUGAGCUGUCCCAGGAGAGCACCAGCCCUCAGAAGAAACUAUGAUGGAUUUUACUGCCAUGUUUGCCAAAAAGACAUCUCAGAACCUCUUGACUACUUGUAGACUUUGUCUGCCUUCUCCACAACAGAGUAAAAGGAAUUAUAACAGGAGAGAAAAACCUACAAAUCAAGCAAAAGACAUCUUCCUCAGGAGCGUUCUUCUCACCUGAAAGGCACAGUGAGAAAGGAAUGAAGUGUGCAUUGAAUCCGAAGCUUGGGUGAGGCCUCUCAGCCUUGGGACAGACAGCAGCACAGCCAAAGGGCCUCGAGAGAAACGAGGACUGAGUUUUGAAAAGCCUUCUGUGGCCAUUUGCACUCAGCUUUGGUAGUGGUAUGACUAUAUGAUGUGUGGAACUGUUGAAGCCAUCUUGUCACUAUGAGGUCACAACUUCAAGGAUGAGAGGCCCACACACUGUGGAUGCCCAAAUAGAAGGAUGAGAAAAGCCUGGGUUUUUGAUGGCAUUGCUGAGCUUCAGAACAAACCCUAGGCUCACCUAUCUCCAGCCUCUCAUCAAGGAAAACAACAAUUGUCUUUAUGGUUCAAAUCACUGGGCAAAGCAGUGGAGACCACCUGAGUGGGGGAACUGCAUUUAUUCAUAUACACAUUUUACAAACCUUUCUUGAGGAUGACUGAAAUUCUAAAUCACUUAGCUAAGAACCAUAAGGGGAGACAAAUUACCUUAUGCUCAUACGUGUCAUAUACGGAGCUUCCAUUGAGGAGGAGCAGGCGGGAAUUGAAACAGGAAAAAUUUCCACUUAUAGCAACACAUGCCCUAGGAGAUAUCACAAUUAAAUAUUGUGUUUCAUCAUAACUGAUUCUAAGCAGCUGAAGUGGACCCAAACGCCAAACCCCCACUGGACUCAACUAAAGACUCUUUCCUCAACAAUGAACGAUGGAUUUGUUUGAACCAACCAGGUACAGACCUUUAGAUUAAUUUCUGGAGUGCUGGUUUUCGAGCCUUAAUCAUUGUGAGCCCCUCUCCAAGAUUAAACAUCCCCGACUCUCCCUCCUCGGCUGACUAUUCAGUGAAUUUCUUCACUUGUGCGUGUUUCCUCGCCUGGCGAGUCAAUAAACGUGGCUUUGUGGCUUUUAUUUAUUUUAUAGCUCUGAUAGUCUUCGUCUUAUUAUUUUUCAGAAUAUAGACUGCAGGGGGUAUGAAGCACAUAAUGUGUAACCUCUGGUAGCAACACAUAAAAACUUCUGAACAUUAAGAACAACUAAAUGAAAAACAACCCAACCAAAACAACAAACCAAUAACAGCAGCAGUAAAAUACUAACAGCAAAUCUCACUCAUCGGACAGGGUCUUGCCCGUAAUAACUUCCCAGUGCGGGUCAUUUCUCUCCAGGAGUGGGUUUCAAGUGGACUAAGCCGAUUUCCACAGUGGUCCAAUCUAGAUCUGAAUAUUGCUUCUAGAUGCUUGUGUGGCCUCUAUGUUUGGUUUAACAUUCAAACUUCAGCAGACUGAUAAGGAGCUAAGACCAUAAUUUUAACAAGAAUUACUCACCUGUUACUUUUUAAUUUUUGUACUGCUGCAAAGUUUGGUUAGUUCGG